rnacentral:rRNA from 1 species
UACGAAGGGGGCUAGCGUUGUUCGGAAUUACUGGGCGUAAAGCGCGCGCAGGCGGCUAUCCAAGUCAGUGGUGAAAGCCCGGAGCUCAACUCCGGAACUGCCAUUGAAACUGUUUAGCUUGAGGACGAGAGAGGUGAGUGGAAUUCCCAGUGUAGAGGUGAAAUUCGUAGAUAUUCGCAAGAACACCAGUGGCGAAGGCGGCUCUCUGGGCAACAACUGACGCUGAGGAGCGAAAGCGUGGGGAGCGAACAGG